AUACGUAGGUGGCAAACGUUGUCCGGAAUUACUGGGCGUAAAGGGCCCGUAGGCGGUCCAACAAGUCGUUUGUGAAAUCUCCCGGCUCAACCGGGAGUGGUCGAGCGAAACUGUUGAACUUGAGGAUGUCAGAGGAAGACGGAAUUCCCGGUGUAGUGGUGAAAUGCGUAGAUAUCGGGAGGAACACCAGUGGCGAAAGCGGUCUUCUGGGGCAUUCCUGACGCUGAGGGGCGAAAGCGUGGGGAGCAAACCGGAUUAGAAACCCCGGUAGUCC
rnacentral:rRNA from 1 species